GGGCAAUGGCAAAUGGAAGCUCAGAUAUGGUCAGGGCGACCAGUUUUCUGGAAGGAGGACUGCAGGAGGACCCCCCUGGGAGGAGGGGAAGCAGACAGCAGUUCAGAAGCAGAGCCUGGGAGGAUGUACAGAGUGCUUUCCAGAGGCGGUCACUGUCACCUGUCACCUGUGGCCCCUGUGCAGCUGACAUCACACAUGGUGCAGGGCAUUAUGGAAGGAUAGCAUUUACUAGAAGAAAUAUGGAGCAGCAGCUUUGAAGCCUGAGCAAGGGACCUCGGCAGCCCCAACCUGACUUGGCUUCACUCAGCCUUACUGAACCAGAUCCAACACUGUUGGCUCCCUGGGCUUGCUAUAGCUCUCUGAUCCUUAGCAU
rnacentral:lncRNA from 1 species